AGAAGGCACACCCGGAGAACUGAAACAUCUUAGUACCCGGAGGAAGAGAAAGAAAAUUCGAUUCCCUUAGUAGCGGCGAGCGAAACGGGAAGAGCCCAAACCAACAAGCUUGCUUGUUGGGGUUGUAGGACACUCUAUACGGAGUUACAAAGGACGACAUUAGACGAAUCAUCUGGAAAGAUGAAUCAAAGAAGGUAAUAAUCCUGUAGUCGAAAAUGUUGUCUCUCUUGAGUGGAUCCUGAGUACGACGGAGCACGUGAAAUUCCGUCGGAAUCUGGGAGGACCAUCUCCUAAGGCUAAAUACUCUCUAGUGACCGAUAGUGAACCAGUACCGUGAGGGAAAGGUGAAAAGCACCCCGGAAGGGGAGUGAAAUAGAACCUGAAACCGUGUGCUUACAAGUAGUCAGAGCCCGUUAAUGGGUGAUGGCGUGCCUUUUGUAGAAUGAACCGGCGAGUUACGAUUUGAUGCAAGGUUAAGCAGUAAAUGUGGAGCCGUAGCGAAAGCGAGUCUGAAUAGGGCGUUUAGUAUUUGGUCGUAGACCCGAAACCAGGUGAUCUACCCUUGGUCAGGUUGAAGUUCAGGUAACACUGAAUGGAGGACCGAACCGACUUACGUUGAAAAGUGAGCGGAUGAACUGAGGGUAGCGGAGAAAUUCCAAUCGAACCUGGAGAUAGCUGGUUCUCUCCGAAAUAGCUUUAGGGCUAGCCUCAAGUGAUGAUUAUUGGAGGUAGAGCACUGUUUGGACGAGGGGCCCCUCUCGGGUUACCGAAUUCAGACAAACUCCGAAUGCCAAUUAAUUUAACUUGGGAGUCAGAACAUGGGUGAUAAGGUCCGUGUUCGAAAGGGAAACAGCCCAGACCACCAGCUAAGGUCCCAAAAUAUAUGUUAAGUGGAAAAGGAUGUGGCGUUGCCCAGACAACUAGGAUGUUGGCUUAGAAGCAGCCAUCAUUUAAAGAGUGCGUAAUAGCUCACUAGUCGAGUGACACUGCGCCGAAAAUGUACCGGGGCUAAACAUAUUACCGAAGCUGUGGAUUGUCCUUUGGACAAUGGUAGGAGAGCGUUCUAAGGGCGUUGAAGCAUGAUCGUAAGGACAUGUGGAGCGCUUAGAAGUGAGAAUGCCGGUGUGAGUAGCGAAAGACGGGUGAGAAUCCCGUCCACCGAUUGACUAAGGUUUCCAGAGGAAGGCUCGUCCGCUCUGGGUUAGUCGGGUCCUAAGCUGAGGCCGACAGGCGUAGGCGAUGGAUAACAGGUUGAUAUUCCUGUACCACCUAUAAUCGUUUUAAUCGAUGGGGGGACGCAGUAGGAUAGGCGAAGCGUGCGAUUGGAUUGCACGUCUAAGCAGUAAGGCUGAGUAUUAGGCAAAUCCGGUACUCGUUAAGGCUGAGCUGUGAUGGGGAGAAGACAUUGAGUCUUCGAGUCGUUGAUUUCACACUGCCGAGAAAAGCCUCUAGAUAGAAAAUAGGUGCCCGUACCGCAAACCGACACAGGUAGUCAAGAUGAGAAUUCUAAGGUGAGCGAGCGAACUCUCGUUAAGGAACUCGGCAAAAUGACCCCGUAACUUCGGGAGAAGGGGUGCUCUUUAGGGUUAACGCCCAGAAGAGCCGCAGUGAAUAGGCCCAAGCGACUGUUUAUCAAAAACACAGGUCUCUGCUAAACCGUAAGGUGAUGUAUAGGGGCUGACGCCUGCCCGGUGCUGGAAGGUUAAGAGGAGUGGUUAGCUUCUGCGAAGCUACGAAUCGAAGCCCCAGUAAACGGCGGCCGUAACUAUAACGGUCCUAAGGUAGCGAAAUUCCUUGUCGGGUAAGUUCCGACCCGCACGAAAGGCGUAACGAUUUGGGCACUGUCUCAACGAGAGACUCGGUGAAAUCAUAGUACCUGUGAAGAUGCAGGUUACCCGCGACAGGACGGAAAGACCCCGUGGAGCUUUACUGUAGCCUGAUAUUGAAAUUCGGCACAGCUUGUACAGGAUAGGUAGGAGCCUUUGAAACGUGAGCGCUAGCUUACGUGGAGGCGCUGGUGGGAUACUACCCUAGCUGUGUUGGCUUUCUAACCCGCACCACUUAUCGUGGUGGGAGACAGUGUCAGGCGGGCAGUUUGACUGGGGCGGUCGCCUCCUAAAAGGUAACGGAGGCGCUCAAAGGUUCCCUCAGAAUGGUUGGAAAUCAUUCAUAGAGUGUAAAGGCAUAAGGGAGCUUGACUGCGAGACCUACAAGUCGAGCAGGGUCGAAAGACGGACUUAGUGAUCCGGUGGUUCCGCAUGGAAGGGCCAUCGCUCAACGGAUAAAAGCUACCCCGGGGAUAACAGGCUUAUCUCCCCCAAGAGUUCACAUCGACGGGGAGGUUUGGCACCUCGAUGUCGGCUCAUCGCAUCCUGGGGCUGUAGUCGGUCCCAAGGGUUGGGCUGUUCGCCCAUUAAAGCGGUACGCGAGCUGGGUUCAGAACGUCGUGAGACAGUUCGGUCCCUAUCCGUCGUGGGCGUAGGAAAUUUGAGAGGAGCUGUCCUUAGUACGAGAGGACCGGGAUGGACAUACCUCUGGUGUACCAGUUGUCGUGCCAACGGCAUAGCUGGGUAGCUAUGUGUGGACGGGAUAAGUGCUGAAAGCAUCUAAGCAUGAAGCCCCCCUCAAGAUGAGAUUUCCCAACUUCGGUUAUAAGAUCCCUCAAAGAUGAUGAGGUUAAUAGGUUCGAGGUGGAAGCAUGGUGACAUGUGGAGCUGACGAAUACUAAUCGAUCGAAGACUUAAUCAA
rnacentral:rRNA from 1 species